ensembl:lncRNA
GAUGGAGGCAGGGAGGCCCCCCUGUGCUUGAGGGUGGCCUCGCCAUCAAGGCUGGGGCCUCCGUGCCUCCUGCCUUGCUUGUCCCCCUCAGCCACAGCUUGGCCGCUUCUAGGAGAUGGUGCCGUCUCUCCCACCAGCAGGCUCUCCCCCGGGAGCCUGCUCAGACCUGCCUUCCUCACAAAGCUCGGUAGCAACUCCCUGGGGCAGAAAAUGUCUCUUCUGAAAGCAAGACAAGAGUUUAAUUAAGCCCUAAACGCACACAGUUGAGCCUGAAAUUAGGGUGGUGAUGGGAGGGGGAGAAGGCAAUCGAGGACGGUGGGUAGCGGGGUGGGCUUCAACGCACUUCUGGCCCAGCUGAGCCAAACAAGCCUACAAGCAAACAUUUACAGAGCCUGUGGGCGUGGCUACAAAGCCUCUCUGACCUGGAGAGGGGAGAAUGCCACGUUUCCUGUCCUGUUUGGGCUCUCCCCAGGUUGUUGCUCAGACAGUCAAACCACAGCCUCCUCCUCUACCUGGCAAUUAAUCCUGCUGUGCCCUGCAACCUGGGUUGGGUCUUACUCUGCCAGGGACUGAAGCAAGAAGAGACGGGCCGCCGGGCGUGUUAUCGCUUGUCUCUGGGGCAGAGAAGCGGUUGCAACAGAGCCCCUGCGUGCGUGUGGACGUGCCUGCGUGGAGCAAACUUCUGUGUUGCUUUGGAAGAAGAACCGGUCUCUGUGAUGCCUGGGCAUCCUUUCAGCUUUCACAGUCUGUCAAGGUCAAACCAAAGAGUUGAGUUCAAGUUCCCAUCCCUAGAGUUGUUGACAGGCAUUUUGCUAGAGGUGACACACCAUCCAUUACAAGCUGAGAGUCAAGGAUCUGGAAAAUGAGAAGCCCCUCCCCUAAGCCACAGACAGCCUGGGGAGUCCCUGUGGCCUGACAGUUUCAUCUGCAGAUACAAGUUCACCAUGCUCUCAGACACAGCUCCGGGUUACUUGCUGCUAAGUCACUUCAGUCGUGUCCGACUCUGUGGGACCCCAGGCUCCGCCGUCCCUGGGAUUCUCCAGAUGAGCACACCAAGACAGAGGUUCAGUAUCUUGCCGAAAGUUGAGAGGAGAAGCUACGAAUAAGACCAGCUCUGGCUCCCAAUCCACCCCACAGCUUUUGAUGGUACUCAGUGGUACACCCUUGGACCCCGAUGGUGUGGGCAGUUCUCCCACAGGUCUGGCCCGAGUCUCUCCUACUCUCGUCUGAAUUGGAUCAGAUGGAAGGACCAUGUCAGUAGGUCGGUUCUGCUCCCAACCCAGCCUCAAGAGACAUCACCCAUCCCUUGGUACAGGUGGUAGCCUUCCAGUUACUGGGGUGGGGAUGUUUGCCUUCUGUUAAUGAAAAGAAAUAGAUGUGAUAAUAAAUAAAUGCCCAACCCAGUGCAGCAAUCGAUGUCCCUAACAAUGAGGCUCUGUGUUUGCUCUCAGCUGUGGGUUAUGUUCAUUGGCCACAGUCACUGCUCAGGAGCCCCUGGGCACAUCAUCCUGGGUGGGUCCACAGG